rnacentral:snRNA from 1 species
GGACAAUGUAGCUGUUACUUCUGUCAUCCUGUUGAUUUUUGGGGUUGAUUUGGCUGAUCUGGCUGGCCAGGCUGGUGUCCCUUUUCUCUCUCACCACUCCAUGUGCAUGCCUCCCAAAGCUAUGCCCUCAGCAGACAAUCUCUCUGAAUAAGGAGGACCAGAUUUCAGUCAAGGGUACACAAGUAGCUGCACUCCCCUGCUAGAGCCUCCAAACAACCGCUCAAGGUCCACACUUUAUCCACCCCUCAUCCCUAUAUUAAUGGACACCUAUAUUGUUUUCAUAACUUGU